AUUGAACGCUGGCGGCAGGCUUAACACAUGCAAGUCGAACGAUGAAGUCUAGCUUGCUAGACGGAUUAGUGGCGAACGGGUGAGUAAUGCUUAGGAAUCUGCCUAUUAGUGGGGGAUAACGUAGGGAAACUUACGCUAAUACCGCAUACGACCUACGGGUGAAAGGGGGCGUUUAGCUCUCGCUAAUAGAUGAGCCUAAGUCGGAUUAGCUAGUUGGUGGGGUAAAGGCCUACCAAGGCGACGAUCUGUAGCUGGUCUGAGAGGAUGAUCAGCCACACUGGGACUGAGACACGGCCCAGACUCCUACGGGAGGCAGCAGUGGGGAAUAUUGGACAAUGGGCGAAAGCCUGAUCCAGCCAUGCCGCGUGUGUGAAGAAGGCCUUUUGGUUGUAAAGCACUUUAAGUGGGGAGGAAAAGCUUGUGGUUAAUACCCAUAAGCCCUGACGUUACCCACAGAAUAAGCACCGGCUAACUCUGUGCCAGCAGCCGCGGUAAUACAGAGGGUGCAAGCGUUAAUCGGAAUUACUGGGCGUAAAGCGCGCGUAGGUGGUUAUUUAAGUCAGAUGUGAAAGCCCCGGGCUUAACCUGGGAACUGCAUCUGAUACUGGAUAACUAGAGUAGGUGAGAGGGGAGUAGAAUUCCAGGUGUAGCGGUGAAAUGCGUAGAGAUCUGGAGGAAUACCGAUGGCGAAGGCAGCUCCCUGGCAUCAUACUGACACUGAGGUGCGAAAGCGUGGGUAGCAAACAGGAUUAGAUACCCUGGUAGUCCACGCCGUAAACGAUGAGUGCUAAGUGUUGGGGGCUUUCCGGCCCUCGGUGCUGGAGCUAACGUAUUAAGCACUCCGCCUGGGGAUUACGACCGCAAGGUUGAAACUCAAAAGAAUUGACGGGGACCCGCACAAGCGGUGGAGCAUGUGGUUUAAUUCGAAGCAACGCGAAGAACCUUACCAGCUCUUGACAUCUUCUGACAACUCUAGAGAUAGAGCGUUCCCUUCGGGGACAGAAUGACAGGUGGUGCAUGGUUGUCGUCAGCUCGUGUCGUGAGAUGUUGGGUUAAGUCCCGUAACGAGCGCAACCCUUGUUGUUAGUUGCCAGCAUUAAGUUGGGCACUUUAACGAGACUGCCGGUGAUAAACCGGAGGAAGGCGGGGAUGACGUCAAAUCAUCAUGCCCCUUAUGAGCUGGGCUACACACGUGCUACAAUGGAUGGUACAACGAGCAGCGAUCCCGCAAGGGCUAGCUAAUCUUUCAAAGCCAUUCUCAGUUCGGAUUGCACUCUGCAACUCGAGUGCAUGAAGUCGGAAUCGCUAGUAAUCGCGAAUCAGAAUGUCGCGGUGAAUCCGUUCCCGGGUCU
rnacentral:rRNA from 1 species